rnacentral:rRNA from 1 species
GACGAACGCUGGCGGCGUGCUUAACACAUGCAAGUCGAACGGAAAGGCCCUGCUUUUGUGGGGUGCUCGAGUGGCGAACGGGUGAGUAACACGUGAGUAACCUGCCCUUGCCUUUGGGAUAACUUCAGGAAACUGGGGCUAAUACCGGAUAGGAGCUCCUGCUGCAUGGUGGGGGUUGGAAAGUUUCGGCGGUUGGGGUUGGACUCGCGGCUUAUCAGCUUGUUAGUGUGGUAGUGCCUUACCAAGGCUUUGACGGGUAGCCGGCCUGAGAGCGUGACCGGCCACAUUGUAAUUGUGGUAGGGGCCAGGUUGCUCCAGGGGAGAGCAGUAGGGAUUAUUGCAAGAUGGGUGGACGUGUUUCAGAGCAUCACUGCGUGCGAUAAUACGGCCUUUUUGUUGUAUACCGCUUUUGCCUGUGAUGAUGCGUGAGUGACGGUAGCGGGUAUUGAAGCGACGCCUAACUACGUG